rnacentral:rRNA from 1 species
GAUGAACGCUGGCGGCGUGCUUAACACAUGCAAGUCGAACGGUGAAGGCGGAGCUUGCUCUGCUGGGUCAGUGGCGAACGGGUGAGUAACACGUAAGCAAUCUGCCCCUGACUCUGGGAUAAGCGCUGGAAACGGCGUCUAAUACUGGAUACGAGCUGCGAAGGCAUCUUCAGCAGCUGGAAAGAAUUUCGGUCAGGGAUGAGCUCGCGGCCUAUCAGCUUGUUGGUGAGGUAGUGGCUCAGCAAGGCGUCGACGGGUAGCAGGCCUGAGAGGGUGACCGGCCACACUGGGCCUGAGACACGGCACAGACUCCUACGGGAGGCAGCAGUGGGGAAUAGUGCACAAUGGGAGAAAGCCUGAUGUAGCAACGCCGCGUGAGGGACGACGGCCUUCGGGUUGUAAACCUCUUUUAGCAGGGAAGAAGCGAAAGUGACGGUACCUGCAGAAAAAGCGCCGGCUAACUACGUG